GCGCUCCCCGCUCUGAUCCUUGCGCUUCUGUGCCGGAGAGACUCCCGGGCUGCCGCCCGCCCGCCGACGGUCCAGCGACUGUCGCCUCCAGGAGUGGGGCGAGCGGGGGUCCUGGGUGGCGCUCGCAGAGGAGGCGUGGAGGGCGCGGCCCCACUCCGCGCGGGGGGAAGCGGCGGCGGGAGCGCGCUCGCCCGCCUUAUGUAAGCGAGGAUGGAGCGAAAUCCACGCCUCGCGCGGAAGGUGGAGUCCACUGGGUUCACUUGCUCACUUGCUCACUCGCUCCGGCGCUGACAAGGGACACCUGGGGGCAGAGGCAACUGCGGCCAGGGGCAGCACAGUCUCCCCGCCUGGCGCCAGACUCCUGCUCCGCAAGCGCUGCGGGCACGCCUCAGGCCACUUGGCGGUGUCCAGCGGAGCUCAGCCCACCGCCUGGCAGUGUCCCUGAGCCGGCCAAGCCUAAGCCAGAUGCCCCAGGACUGCUCUCGCUCUAGGAUUUAGGGAGUUGCGCUUGAUUGAGCCGGAGGCGGGCUGGAACUUGUUCGCAUAGAUGGGAAAGAAGGCAAGAAGCAUUUGUAGUGGCUCAGCCCACUAUCUUUGGGUUGUCAGCGCCAGUCAGGCUGUUUUAUGCUCUGCGAGCCGGUGACCUAUUUGUGGUGGAACAAAAACUGGAAAUCAAUGGAAACUCCCUCGC
rnacentral:lncRNA from 1 species